GUAGUCUGCAACUCGACUACAUGAAGCUGGAAUCGCUAGUAAUCGCGGAUCAGAAUGCUGCGGUGAAUACGUUCCCGGGUCUUGUACACACCGCCCGUCACACCAUGGGAGUCAGUAACGCCCGAAGUCAGUGACCCAACCGUAAAGGAGGGAGCUGCCGAAGGCGGGACGGAUAACUGGGGUGAAGUCGUAACAAGGUACC
rnacentral:rRNA from 1 species